GGGUUUCCCCCGCCCUGGUAGUCUUAGUAAGCCGGGAAGCUUAUGACUAAGAGCACCACGAUGAUGAUCCACUUCAUCAUGACCC
rnacentral:sRNA from 1 species